GGACAGAAUGGAGGGGACAAUGCAUUAUGGGUAAAGGAAGAUCGCGGCCACCAGCACAGCUGCUGAAGAAUGGCUCAAGUCUCAAGGGUCACUGUCAGGACCCACCCAGUGGAGACCCAGAGGAGGAGGAAGGCUUCUGUGAUUAUUCCUCACGGCACCUCCAUUACUGACAGUACUAAAUCCAUUCCAGAAAACUGAGUGCAAGAAAUUGACGCUAUUUCGAAUCGGAUUCAGCAGAAUUCAGUGCCAUAGGCAGCCAUGACUCAGUUCCCUCACUGUUCGUGGAGGGAGCUUAACACUGUCAAGAAAAUGCUCCUGGUCUUUGCAUCAUUGUGACUCACAAAGGGAUGAUUCCUGGGAAUGCACCUGACAGGGAUUCAGACCCGGACUAGCUGCCUUCUGCAGUACUAAUCCGCCUGGGUGAUGAGGCCAUCCUAAUAUAAUUUAACCCAGGCUUUCUCAGUGUAAGCAUGCCACAUGGAGGGGCAUACUUACAUUGGCACGUGAAGGGCUGUAAUGGUAAUGCAGUCAUAAGGGUGGGAAGCCACUUGUGAUGUAAUAUCAAUAGCUCGGAGCUAAUGUGUCUUGCACUGCUGCUGGGGACAGGAUUAAAGCUGCAAUAGAAACCCAGGAAGCCGCCUGUUCUUCUAGAAUCUGUAACAAGUUCCUCUACAAGAACAAUAGAACGAUCAAUCCAAUGUCCGUCCACUUGAAAAAGACGUCAUAUCGAAACGAAGGUCACCGGGUCAUCGCUGUGGACUGAAGUAAUGGACCCGAGAAGAAGACUGUAUUGUUGCUGGGGAUGUAUAUACUUUAUGCUCAUGACAGGAUACAUUUGUGGAUUUAGUUCGCUCACAGUCGUUUAAAUUGUAUUUUGUCUCUUUGAUUGAUUGAUUAAAUGCCGUCAAGUCGG